GCAGGUGCGGAGAUCAUUAAAUGCCCUAUUGUUGUUAUAUAAUAUUUUAAAUCAUAACAUCCAUUUACCAUAUUUUAUCAGCCGAAUUAAUUUCAGUGUACCAUAUGCAAGACCUAGAAGGAAUAUAUUGUUCGAGAUUCCCUUUGCUAGAACAAACCAUCAUUACAACUCAUUUCUUUAUAAAACCUUACGACUAGUUUAAUAGCUUGAAUGAACACAUUGAUCCUUUUUCGAACUCAUUCAAUGAAUAUAAGAAACAUUGUGAACUGAAUCUAUCAUAAGACAAGACGCUCGUUUUUGAGAUUAAUUGUUUUGUAAACUCUGGCUGGAACUCUCUUUUCACAUUUUUCUUUAUAUGAAUGUAAUUAAUUUGAUUAUUUCAACUGUGUAAAUGCUUUUUGCUUUCUUUUCUUUAUUUACUAUAUUUCAUAAUGUAUAUAAGUUGAAUUGUUGUUUCAUUUAAUUGUGUAAAUAUAUGGCUCUUUAUGGAUCUCUGUGAGCCUUUGUAUGUAAAGAAAAUGAAUAAAUAAAAAUAACAGUCUUCCAUAUGUGCUUGUAAUAUUGUGAACUUAUUAAGACUUAUCAAAUGCAACUGUAGGUUGUGAAAUGUACUGUGUUGAAUAAAACUAUUAUCUUAUCUUAUCUUCUUACCUAUUAGCAAUAGUCUGUGACACUUGAACACUUGAGGACAUUGCUCUCACCAAAAAAAAAUCUUUUACCAGUAAAUUUUAUUCCAAUUAAUAAAUCUGGAUAAAACUUUAGAAUACAUACGUUCACGAUUUGAAUUGAUUUAUCAAUUUUUAAAGCGUUACUCAAUCCUCCACAAUUAUUUGGUAGUUAGUAGCCAUUACUCAAGCACAAGUCUGUGUCGAAUGUGGUCAUCACCCUCAGUAAAAACCUUAUCCAAUUGAAUUCCAUUAAUCUAAUCUAGAUACAUUUUUUCAAAUAGUAUUAUUUUAAAGCGUUCACAUUGUACACAUGAUCAAUUACUAGCUUCAUUGAAAUCGGAUAACUAAUUUCACAGUACUUGAAUGUAUUCUGUUGUGGUGGGGGGAGGGGACAGCUUGGUAUACUGAUUGCUGUAAUGGGAUGACAGCUUACAAGUAUGGUACUUGAGAGAUGGCUGAAUUUCUGAUCGAACGUAACAGCUCGGUGACAAGAAAGAACGAAGACCCCUCCAUUACACCUCAUAAAUGGGAUACAAUGACCUUGUGCGCCUUGUGACCUUGUGCUCCACAACUGUGGAGCCGACAUCAACGCUAAAGAUAAGAUGAUACCAAAACAUAUUACACAGUGUAGAUGGACAGAUAGAAAGUGUGAACAUCAAAAGCCAUCGUGUGUGUUACCCAGUUUCCAUUCUGCAUCUAACAAUAGUAACCGAACAUCCAACAUCAUAACUUUAUUAUAUCAUCUAGUUAAUUUUGAUAUCACAUUAACUAAAAAGCUUUCCUCAUAAUAUACAAGAAAUUAAUACAUUGCCGAGAUUGUCAAAGAUGUGAAUUUUCAAUGUGCUUUGAUGCAAAUUAUUGCAAAAAACUAAUAUCAUGGUUAGCUAUGCAUAAAUUAAUAGGCAUGAUGGUCAUUCUUUACUGAAUCGAAAUAAGCUGUUAUAACUUUGUCAACUAUUAAUUUGGUUUUCAAUAAACUAGUUAUGAUCAGAUGCCUUAUUAAUAAAUGCAAAAUUCAUGUAGGUUAUGUAGCUUUUCUGCAAUAAACUAAAAUUACUCAAUAAUUAAGUUGUUUAAGU